rnacentral:rRNA from 1 species
UACAGAGGGUGCAAGCGUUAAUCGGAAUUACUGGGCGUAAAGCGUGCGUAGGUGGUGGUUUAAGUCCGUUGUGAAAGCCCUGGGCUCAACCUGGGAAUUGCAGUGGAUACUGGGUCACUAGAGUGUGGUAGAGGGUAGCGGAAUUCCCGGUGUAGCAGUGAAAUGCGUAGAGAUCGGGAGGAACAUCUGUGGCGAAGGCGGCUACCUGGACCAACACUGACACUGAGGCACGAAAGCGUGGGGAGCAAACAGG